rnacentral:rRNA from 2 species
CUACGCUGCGAUAAGCCGUGGGGAGCUGCGAAGAAGCUUUGAUCCACGGAUUUCCGAAUGGGGAAACCCACCUUCGAUAGCCGGAACUCCAAGACCUUGUGUUUUGGGGUUCGACCAGAAAUGGAAGAAAUCAAACCGCGAGGUUUUGGAUUUCCGGUUAUCAAGAGAAGGUAUGAGACUUCCGAAUAAAAUAGGAGGUUUUAAGCAAACCCAGGGAACUGAAACAUCUAAGUACCUGGAGGAAAGGACAUCAAUCGAGACUCCGUUAGUAGUGGCGAGCGAACGCGGACCAGGCCAGUGAUACAUCAAAGACAAUCGGAACCUGUCAGGAAAGCAGGGCCUCAGAGGGUGAUAGCCCCGUACGAGUAAUGCGAUGAUGUAUCCACGAGUAAGGCGGGACACGUGUAAUCCUGUCUGAACACGGGGGGACCACCCUCCAAGCCUAAGUACUCCUCAGCGACCGAUAGU